GCACACAGGCAGGUACCAGUCUCAAAGCACAGUGUCAGGGCUAAGAUGUAAGGGCAUAUUCUUAGAUGAGCUUCUCAAAAGCUGAUGUCUCUGCUCCUCUCCAUGUACAUGUAGUGAGCAGGGUGUUUCACGCAGCCUCUCACCAAGUUUUCCCCAAGUGCAGCCUGGCUUCCUUUGGGUACAGCUCAGAACCAGCAUUCUCUGGGAGGUGAUAAUAUUUUCCAAGGCUGGGCCAUUCAUCCGUGCCAGCCUCUUGGGAAUAGGGAGAAGCUUUGCAGAAAGGGCCUGGCCACACCCUGGAGCCAGCAGUAGGAUGUUUACAGCCUGCCAAGGUAAACUGUGUGAGUGGUACACCUCCAUUUACAGCCAGAUCUCCAGAGCAGAAGCAGGGAGUGAGGAGUGCCACAACUUUCACUGCUCGUGAGGAGCUGAAGAUGAAACUCAGCGGAGGACCCAAACUCCUGGAGGAUAUCCACACCUCCAGAGAACAUGUCUCGUGCAGGGUUUCCUGGCAAGGUUUCUGCCAUAGCACAGCUUUGGCACAUGUCAUCUCUGCAUUUAAAACCUUCUCUGGUUGUUUUUGUUUGUGGUUUUGUUUUGGGGUUUCAGGUACUGGUUUCCACUUCCCUGAGUGCUUCCCCAACACUGGGCUUAACCUUACUUCUGUCUCUGGUCCCCUUUGAGCACCAGCCUGUGAUGACUCGGAUCUCCUGAGGCCUCUCCAGUGCUUUCAUCCUGGAAUCAUCAUUCAACCUACCUCUUAAAUUCAUCAGAGAUUAUUAGGAUUCUCUGUGUGCUCCUUUCUCUUCAAGGCCACAUGACUUCCACUCUUUCCUUGCAUCUUCCAACUUCCCUGUUCCCAUGCUUGUUUCCUGUUCCUUUUUCUUUUGAGUUUCUCUGCCAGGAAGUGUUGCACAAAGUGAUACUUUGGGAUGUGCAGUAGAGGGGCCACGAGACAUUAAUCCUGCUCUCAGAGGUCCCUUUAGAAAAAACAUCCUUUAAAUGCCAACAAAGAUUUAAGCCAAAAGGUUUUAAUUUUUAAACUGAUGAACAAUUUGUCCAGAGUCAAAACAUUUGUGCUGAUAAUGGUGCUGUGCCCUGAGGGAGCUAAUUUGCCUAUCUUACAUUGCUUGACUUUCCUGCUCACAGAUAACUCAGCCCAGUGAUAUCUCAUGUUGUAACCCAGUUCAAGACUCAGACCCACUCUUGCAAGAAGGACGUGCUGCAUCUUUGGAAAACCUGAGUGAAAUGCACCUCCUCUCCAUGUGAAAUCAGAGGGUGCAGAACAGAAGAUACUUGUGCACCCUGACAAGAACAGAAACACUGAAAACAUGAUGCCAACGGCAGGCAACAACCUGAAGGACUCUUAGAAUGUAUUGUGGGGGCCUUUGCCCCUCCACCGAGCACUGCAAACACACUUCCUCUUCUAGGAAAUUAAACUCUUAACAGACA